GAGCCCGUGGCUCAAUGGUAGAGCGUUCGACUCAAAUACCAAAGGUCGCGGGUUCGAAUCCCAGGUGCA
rfam:Schistocephalus solidus strain NST_G2 genome assembly, scaffold: SSLN_scaffold0004203